CCCGGGAAGAACAGGCCAAAUACUAUGAAUUAGCACGGAAAGAAAGGCAGCUACAUAUGCAGCUUUAUCCAGGCUGGUCAGCAAGAGACAAUUAUGGCAAGAAGAAGAAGAGGAAGAGAGAGAAACUACAGGAAUCCACUUCAGGUACAGGUCCCAGAAUGACAGCUGCCUACAUCUGAAACAUGGUGGCAAAAGAAGCUCAUUCCCAACGUGCAAAGCCAAGGCGGCGACCCCAGGCCCUCUUCUGGAGAUGGAAGCUUGUUGAAAACCCAGACUGCCUCCACAGCUUGCCCGGCUGACCCCCAAGGAGCUCUGACAGCCUCUUUACCCCGAGGUCACUGCUAGAGAUGCUGACCCACAGAGACAGUCACUGCCGGCCCUUCCUCCCGUCUCCUGCAAGCGCCAACUUCCAAAAGCAAGUCAAAAACCGGUUGUUUCUGAAAAAAAAAAAAAAAGAAAAAGAAAAAAAAAAAAAGAAAAAAAAAAAAAAAAAAAAAAAGCCCAAGAGAAUGCUAGCAGGCCCUGCCCACUGAGUGGCAUUGCUUCUGGUCUCUGUGCACACUUCCCUUCUGUGCAGACCUGUCACCCUUCUCAAGGAUAGUACCUUGUCACCGCAACCCGACCCAGCGACCAGAGCAGGCAUCAGCAUCCUGGCGAGAGAAUUGUGGAGGACUCCUCCCGUUUUUGUCUUCAUUUUCCUAUCUUCUUCAAGUUUUUAUUUAACAGUACAAAAGGAUCAAGCUUGUGUUUGCUUCUUUUAUUUUUUAACUCUAAUUUUUAAAUUUCCUUUUUAAAGAAAAUUUAUUUUCCUUGUAUAUUUUACUAGCUCUGAGCUUUUCAGCGAAAUUCGUAGGUCUGGAAGAGUUUGGGAUAAAAAGAAGAUGAGGAGAAGCCUUCUGUCUUCCUGAGAGGGCUUGUCCAGCAGGCGGGUUCUCCGUGACACACAGGGGCCUCUGUCCUGUGAAGUGUCCGAUAGAGCUAAACCAUUAGCCAAACCCACUCUCGUUGUUAGCGAUUGGCAGCCCAUCUCACUUAAUUUUCUGAUUUUUUUUUUUAUAUGACAAACUUUAAC